rnacentral:rRNA from 1 species
UACAGAGGUCUCAAGCGUUGUUCGGAUUCACUGGGCGUAAAGGGCGCGUAGGCGGCGCGGGUAGUCAUCGGUGAAAGUUCAGGGCUCAACUCUGAAUCGGCCGGUGAUACUCCCGUGCUCGAGCACUGUAGAGGCAGGUGGAAUUCCGGGUGUAGCGGUGGAAUGCGUAGAGAUCCGGAAGAACACCGGUGGCGAAGGCGGCCUGCUGGGCAGUAGCUGACGCUGAUGCGCGACAGCGUGGGGAGCAAACAGG